GUGUCAGCCGCCGCGGUAAUACAGAGGGGGCAAGCGUUAUUCGGAAUUAUUGGGCGUAAAGGGCGCGUAGGCGGCCUUUCAAGUCUCUCGUGAAAUCCCUCGGCUUAACCGAGGACGUGCGGGAGAUACUGUCAGGCUUGAGUCCGGAAGAGGGUGGUGGAAUUCCCAGUGUAGCGGUGAAAUGCGUAGAUAUUGGGAGGAACACCGGUGGCGAAGGCGGCCACCUGGGCCGGAACUGACGCUGAGGCGCGAAAGUGUGGGUAGCAAACGGGAUUAGAUACCCUGGUAGUCC
rnacentral:rRNA from 1 species